GACAAGUAUAUAAAGAAACUAUUAUGGAUGGUUAGCUAUAUAUUUCAAGAUAUUUAUAUCUAGGAAACAAUAUAAACUAGAAAUCAUAGAGAAAUCUAAUUAUAAGACAAAGUGAAUUGAAAUAUCUUAGUAACUUUAGUAAAAGAAAUCAAACGAGAUUGUUAUUUGGUGUCUUCUGAAUAGCAAAAGCCUUAAUAAAUAAUUACUAUAUUUACCAUAUAGUAAUUAUUUAUAGUAAAUAUACUAAAUGGUAUAUUUAAGUAUAACGGAAAAAAAUCUGUUGAAAAAUAGGGGAACCUUCCUCUAAGGCUAAAAAAAAUAUAUAAGCGAUAGAGUAACAGUACCGUGAGGGAAAUACCCUGAAAUAGUAGUUUUAUAAGCAGCUCAAGUUAAAAUUUAAAUAAAUAAUAAGAGCGUACCUUUUGCAUAAUGGGUCAGCAAGUUAAUUUUAGAUGCAAGUAACAUCUCUUUUAUAAGCAUUUACACAUUUAGAAUAUUAUCAUUUACAAUAGAUGAUAAGAAUAUAGAUAUGUAAAUUUAUUAAUAAAAUUAGGAGAUAGAUACGUAGAUAAACCAAUUAUGAAAAAAUGAAUUAGUAUCUAGAAUUAGACCCGAAGGCUAGUGAUCUUACCAUGGUCAGGGUUAUAAAAGCCCGAACGGGUUAUCGUUGUAAAGAUAUCCGAUGAACUGUGGUAAGUUAGUGAAAGACAAAACUGACUAGUAUAGCUGGUUUUCCGCGAAACCUAUGUAAGUAGGUAAUUUAAUUAACAUCUUAGCAGGUACAGAACUGUGAUCUCGGACAAUAUUUAAUAUAUUUGUCAACAUCGGGGGGUUGUAGUGACUUUACCGGAGAGUAUUUGCACUCGGAAGGGCAAAGAUGAAUGUUAAAUAAUCGGACAUAGUGCGAUAAGGUUGUAUGUCUAAAGGGAAACAGCCCAGAACAAGAGUUAAGGUUCCAAAAUUAUUGUUAAGUGAAAUUAAGGAUGUUUUUUUUUAAAACAAUCAGGAAAUAGGCUUAGAAGCGGCCAUUUUUUGAAGACCUCGUAACAGAGCACUGAUUAAUAAAUUAGGAAAAAACGCCGAAAAUUUAACGGAUCUAAAUAAUAUACCGAAACCUUGUACACAAAUAAAAAUUAAAGCGUUGUAGCUUAAUAUUUUGUGGGGUAGCGGAACAUUGGAUUAAACAAAAUAUUAAUAUUUUUCUUAAAAUAUUAAAGAUCUUGCAUAAAACUAAAAUAUAUGAUUUAUUAUAUAUUUUUAUUAUUAUAUUUUAUGAGUAUCUGUUAAAUCCAAGAGAGAAUGCUGACAUGAGUAACGAAAAAGGCUUUUAGCCUCGCCUGAAGCUUAUGGUUUCAUCUAAAAUCGGUGUCUAAAAAAAUUAAUCAAAAGAUAAUUUUGAUGACGUUUUGUGCUUUUUUUAUAAGAUAAUACCAAAACCUUUAAUAAGUAAUAAAGGUUCUGGAAAAGUUUAUUUUAUUAUUUGAAGUGAAAAAUAUUUAAUACUCAUACUUAUUGGUAUAAAAUUGUAAAUUAUAAUAUAUAAUACAUACUUAUUAUAAUAUUGUGAUUUAUAAAUAUAAUAGAGUGAGUAAAAUAAAUAUAUUUUAACCAAAUAAUAGUCUUUAUCUAUUAUAAUAAUAUAAUAUAAUAAUUAUUAAUAAUUAAUUACCAUUAGAUUAUUAAUAUGUAUUUAUAGGCUAUAUUUGAAUUGUAUAUCAAGAUUCUUAUAUAGAUAUAUCUAUAUCUAUUAAACGUUAUUAUAAAUAAUAUUAUAAUAUAUAGAAAAGAUAACGUUAUACUGGUAAAUAAAAGAAAAAAAACAAUAAAUAACCGUACCUAGAAACUAACUCAAGUAAGCAAGUAGAGAAUACAAAGGCGUUUGAGAGAACAAUCAUUAAGGAACUCGGCAAAUUGACUCUGUACCUUUGGAAUAAGGAGGACCAUUAUUAUUAAAUUUAACAUAUAGUAAAGUAUGAAAUUAAAUAUGAAAAAUUAAAUUAAUAAUAAGAGGAAUCAUGAAAUAAUGUUGUACGACUGUUUAAUAAAAACACAGCACUCUGCAAAGAUAAAAAAUCAAAGUAUUGAGUGUGAUGUCUGCCCAAUGUCGGCUGGGUAACGGAUCUACCUUGAUUAUUAACUGAGGUUUUGAAGGACACCCCGAUUAAUGGCGGCCUUACCUAUGAGGGUCCUAAGGUAGCGAAAUACCUUGGCCGUUAAAUGCGGUCCUGCAUGAAUGAUUUAACGAUGCAACAGCUGUCUCGAUGAUUGUCUCAGUGAAAUUGGAAUAGCAGUGCAGAUACUGUUUACCUCUAGAUAGACGAGAAGACCCUAUGCAGCUUUACUGUUACUAAUUAUAAGAGUGAAAUUUUAGGAUGAUUUAUAGUGUAUAAGGUAGUUGUUGAGAUAAUAAUGAAACACCUUUAUUCGAAUCCUUAUAUAUACUCUUAAUGAUUAGAAGGCAGUUUAUGCGGGGCACAGAUCCCACAAAAAGUACCUGGGUAUAUCCAAAGUUCAUAUUGUAAACUUGUAUAUUUAUAUACAAAUAUUUUAAUUUGUUCUAAUUAUUAUUAUAAUUAUACAGUUAUUAUUCGAUUAAAUUCCACAAUUAUUUUUUAUUUUAAGUAAGAUUUUAACUAUGCGGUGAAUAGAUGUAUUUUAAACUUUACUGGACUUUGCACUAAUUUUAGUUCAAAGAUUUAAAAGUUUAUUUGUUAUAUUAAUAAAGUAUUUAUCUUUAUUAAUAUAAUGUUUAUUAAUACUUUAAAAGUUUAAUGGCUAAAUCUUGCUUUACUGUUUGACCUACAAGUCUAUCAGUCGCGUAAGCGGGGCAUAUGAUCACAAGAUGCAUUAAGGAAAGGUCUUGGAUUAUAGAAAAAGUUACGCUAGGGAUUUAUAACUGUGAGUCCUCCAAUAUUAUAAAAUAUUGGUAAU
rnacentral:rRNA from 1 species